UGGGGAAUUUUGGACAAUGGGCGAAAGCCUGAUCCAGCAAUGCCGCGUGUGUGAAGAAGGCCUUCGGGUUGUAAAGCACUUUUGUCCGGAAAGAAAUCCUUGGCUCUAAUACAGUCGGGGGAAUGACGGUACCGGAAGAAUAAGCACCGGCUAACUACGUGCCAGCAGCCGCGGUAAUACGUAGGGUGCAAGCGUUAAUCGGAAUUACUGGGCGUAAAGCGUGCGCAGGCGGUUUGCUAAGACCGAUGUGAAAUCCCCGGGCUCAACCUGGGAACUGCAUUGGUGACUGGCAGGCUAGAGUAUGGCAGAGGGGGGUAGAAUUCCACGUGUAGCAGUGAAAUGCGUAGAGACUGUGGAGGAAUACCGAUGGCGAAGGCAGCCCCCUGGGCCAAUACUGACGCUCAUGCACG
rnacentral:rRNA from 1 species